UCUUACUUCUUUCUUCUCUUAACUUCUUGGGCACUAAACCUACAGCUUUUAACCCUAAUUUCUAGCACCUUUAAACCCUAGCAAAGAGAAAGAAAAAUCUCUCUUCCUUUCCUUUAUUUUCAAUUUCUACUCCACUUUCAACAACACUUGGAUUUUGGCUUCAAAUCUUCAUUUUAAGGCUAAAAGGUAUAUAUUUUCAACCCUUGAAUUUUUGAAUUUAUGGGUUUGUAAUUUUUAGACUUUAUUUUCUAAGUUUCUUCAAAUUUCCUUUCCUUGGAAUUUUCUAGGUUGGGUUGCUCUUUAUACCUUCAAG
rnacentral:lncRNA from 1 species